rnacentral:rRNA from 1 species
UACAGGGGGGCAAGCGUUGUUCGGAAUUACUGGGCGUAAAGGGCGCGUAGGCGGCCCGCUAAGUCGAACGUGAAAUCCCCGAGCUCAACUCGGGAACUGCGUCCGAUACUGGCGGGCUUGAAUCCGGGAGAGGGAUGCGGAAUUCCAGGUGUAGCGGUGAAAUGCGUAGAUAUCUGGAGGAACACCGGUGGCGAAGGCGGCAUCCUGGACCGGCAUUGACGCUGAGGCGCGAAAGCUAGGGGAGCAAACAGG